UACGUAGGUGACAAGCGUUGUCCGGAUUUACUGGGCGUAAAGAGCGCGCAGGCGGUCGUUCAAGUCGAGUGUGAAAGCCCCCGGCUCAACUGGGGAGGGUCACUCGAUACUGAUCGACUCGAAGGCAGGAGAGGGAAGUGGAAUUCCCGGUGUAGUGGUGAAAUGCGUAGAUAUCGGGAGGAACACCAGUGGCGAAGGCGGCUCUCUGGACCGAGACUGACGCUGAGGCGCGAAAGCGUGGGGAGCAAACAGG
rnacentral:rRNA from 1 species